CGAGAUAAUCAUGGUGAAGGAACUCGGCAAAAUGCCCCCGUAACUUCGGGAGAAGGGGGGCCAUCCACUUAUACGGAUUUACUCCGGAAAGGGUGUGGUGGCCGCAGAGACCAGUGGGAAGCGACUGUUUACUAAAAACACAGGUCCGUGCUAACACGCAAGUGGACGUAUACGGACUGACGCCUGCCCGGUGCUGGAAGGUUAAGAGGAGAGGUUAGACUUCGGUCGAAGCUUUGAAUUUAAGCCCCAGUAAACGGCGGUGGUAACUAUAACCAUCCUAAGGUAGCGAAAUUCCUUGUCGGGUAAGUUCCGACCUGCACGAAUGGCGUAACGACUUCCCAGCUGUCUCCACCGUGAACUCGGCGAAAUUGCAGUACGAGUAAAGAUGCUCGUUACGCGCAGAAGGACGGAAAGACCCCGUGACCUUUACUACAGCUUGGUAUUGGUGUUCGGUGUGGCUUGUGUAGGAUAGGUGGGAGACUGUGAAGCUUGGACGCUAGUUCAGGUGGAGUCAUUGUUGAAAUACCACUCUGGUCAUAUUGGAUAUCUAACUACGGACCCUGAUCGGGUUCUGGGACAGUGCCUGGUGGGUAGUUUAACUGGGGCGGUUGCCUCCCAAAAAGUAACGGAGGCGCCCAAAGGUUCCCUCAACCUGGUUGGCAAUCAGGUGGCGAGUGUAAGUGCACAAGGGAGCUUGACUGUGAGACUGACAGGUCGAGCAGGGACGAAAGUCGGGACUAGUGAUCCGGCAGUGGCUUGUGGAAGCGCUGUCGCUCAACGGAUAAAAGAUACCUCGGGGAUAACAGGCUGAUCUUGCCCAAGAGUCCAUAUCGACGGCAUGGUUUGGCACCUCGAUGUCGGCUCGUCGCAUCCUGGGGCUGGAGUUGGUCCCAAGGGUUGGGCUGUUCGCCCAUUAAAGCGGUACGCGAGCUGGGUUUAGAACGUCGUGAGACAGUUCGGUCCCUAUCCUCUGCGCGCGUUGGAAAUUUGAGAGGAUCUGACCCUAGUACGAGAGGACCGGGUUGGACGAACCUCUGGUGUGCCAGUUGUUCUGCCAAGGGCAUGGCUGGUUGGCUACGUUCGGGAUGGAUAACCGCUUAAAGCAUCUAAGCGGGAAGCCGGCCUCGAGAUGAGAUUUCCUUACGACUUGAUCGUGUGAGGCUCCCAGUAGAUUACUGGGUUGAUAGGCCAGAUGUGGAAGCACAGCAAUGUGUGGAGCUGACUGGUACUAAUAAGCCAAAGACCU
rnacentral:rRNA from 1 species